rnacentral:rRNA from 1 species
GACGAACGCUGGCGGCGUGCCUAAUACAUGCAAGUAGAACGCUGAAGGAGGAGCUUGCUUCUCUGGAUGAGUUGCGAACGGGUGAGUAACGCGUAGGUAACCUGCCUGGUAGCGGGGGAUAACUAUUGGAAACGAUAGCUACUACCGCAUAAGAGUAGAUGUUGCAUGACAUUUGCUUGAAAGUUGCACUUGCCUCGCUACCAGGAGCACCUGCGUGGUUUUAGCGAGUUGGGGGGGGAGCGGCUCACCAAGGCGAGGCCACAUAGCCGAGCUGAGAGGGUGAGCGGCCACACUGGGAAUGAGACACGGCCCAGACUCCUCCGGGAGGCAGCAGUAGGGAAUCUUUGGGAAUGGGCGGAAGUCUGAGCGAGAGACGUCGCGUGAGUGAAGAAGGGGUUCGCGUCGUAAAGAUCUGUUGUAUGGGAAGAAAGAGUGUGAGAGUGGAAAGUUCACACUGUGACGGUAACUUACCAGAAAGGGACCGCUAACUACGUG